GACCCGUGUCAUGACGGUCAUGAGGCGGCCUGCAAAGCCGCCGGUACCGGGUUCGACUCCCGGGCGGGUCUCCG
rnacentral:tRNA from 1 species